rnacentral:rRNA from 1 species
UACGGAGGGGGCUAGCGUUGUUCGGAAUUACUGGGCGUAAAGCGCACGUAGGCGGCUUUGUAAGUUAGAGGUGAAAGCCCAGGGCUUAACCCUGGAAUUGCCUUUAAGACUGCAUCGCUAGAAUCGUGGAGAGGUAAGUGGAAUUCCGAGUGUAGAGGUGAAAUUCGUAGAUAUUCGGAAGAACACCAGUGGCGAAGGCGACUUACUGGACACGUAUUGACGCUGAGGUGGCGAAAGCGUGGGGAGCAACAGG